UACGAAGGUGGCAAGCGUUGUUCGGAUUUACUGGGCGUACAGGGAGCGUAGGCGGUUGGAUAAGCCCUCCGUGAAAUCUCCAGGCUUAACCUGGAAAGUGCAGAGGGGACUGUUCAGCUAGAGGAUGGGAGAGGAGCGCGGAAUUCCCGGUGUAGCAGUGAAAUGCGUAGAGAUCGGGAGGAACAUCUGUGGCGAAGGCGGCCAUCUGGACCAGCACUGACACUGAGGCACAAAAGCGUGGGGAGCAAACAGG
rnacentral:rRNA from 1 species